rnacentral:lncRNA from 1 species
GAAAGAACGAGGUUUGACCCUGGAGUCAUAGUAGUUAGAGAUGCGCUGCUUGUAGGCGACAUUCCUCAAGUGAGCUUGGUUUCUGUGUUUCUCGAAUAGAUCUAAGUUAAGGGUAAGUUGUUUGUCAUUUUCACUUUGCACGUAGUUCUGGACUCGGAACGUUGCUUGCUCAAGCUCAACUAGGACAACUGCCUCUGUACCAAAGGCAAGUGAAAAUGGGGUU